UACGAAGGGGGCUAGCGUUGCUCGGAAUUACUGGGCGUAAAGGGCGCGUAGGCGGACAGUUUAGUCAGAGGUGAAAGCCCAGGGCUCAACCUUGGAAUUGCCUUUGAUACUGGCUGUCUUGAGUUCGGGAGAGGUGAGUGGAAUGCCGAGUGUAGAGGUGAAAUUCGUAGAUAUUCGCAAGAACACCAGUGGCGAAGGCGGCUCACUGGCCCGAUACUGACGCUGAGGUGCGAAAGCGUGGGGAGCAAACAGGGAUUAAGAAACC
rnacentral:rRNA from 1 species